GAGGGAUCAUUACCGAGUGAGGGCCUCCGGGUCCGACCUCCAACCCCAUGUCAUCUUGACCCUGUUGCCUCGGGGGCGACCCGGCCUUCGGGCGUCGGGGCCCCCGGUGGACCUGUAACACUGCAUCUCUGCGUCGGAGUGAUUACACAAUCAAUCAAAACUUUCAACAACGGAUCUCUUGGUUCUGGCAUCGAUGAAGAACGCAGCGAAAUGCGAUAAGUAAUGUGAAUUGCAGAAUUCAGUGAAUCAUCGAAUCUUUGAACGCACAUUGCGCCCCUCGGUAUUCCGGGGGGCAUUCCUGUUCGAGCGUCAUUACACCACUCAAGCCUGGCUUGGUAUUGGGCGCCGCGGUCCGCCGCGCGCCCCAAUGUCUUCGGCUGAGUCGUCUGUCCCCCAGCGUUGUGGUAACAUGUCCGCUGCCGGGAACGACGGGUCGUCGCCGUUAAACCCCCCCACACAAGGUUGACCUCGGACCAGGUAGGGAUACCCGCUGAACUUAAGCAUAUCAAUAAG
rnacentral:rRNA from 1 species